GAAACCUCCAGGCUGCACAAAUCUUCCUCCUCAGACUCUCCGCUCGCGGUGUGCUGCGCCCGUAAACAGCUCCGGCGGACCUUACCUACCACCCGCCACGUGUCAACACAAACGAUAUUCACAAUGUAAAAUUUUCGGACUCACUUCUGGGCGUCCGGAACAUAGGAUCUGAAUUGGCUUCCAGUUUCAGUUAAAUUCAGUACUCAGU
rnacentral:lncRNA from 1 species